rnacentral:lncRNA from 1 species
AAAGAAAGAAAGAAAGAAAGAAAGAAAGAAAGAAAGAAAGAAAGAAAGCAAACAAAGGAAGGAAGGAAGGAAGGAAGGAAGGAAGGAAGGAAGGAAGGAAGGAAGGAAGGAAGGAAAGAGGGCAUUGCUUCAAAUCUGUUGGAGAUAUGUAAUUUAAAAAUCUCAUUGGAUAUUUCUAAUACACUACUAAUGAUACCUUAGAAACUGGCUCAAUGAUAGAGGGAUUUCUAAGCAGUGUAAUUUCUACAUUCGAUGAACAGCUCCAUGAAUAUGCAAUAUAAAGAAUGAUUGCAGCUAACAUUGUUUCUAAUAAGGCUUAUUCCAAUCUCUGGGUUGCUUUUAAUAAUCACAUAGUCAUUCAGAAGAUUUGUUCUCCUGCUCCAUUUUGAAGGCUGUUCUGUGCUUCAUAAAAUCAGUUCAUAUAAAACCACUGAGUUGAUUUUUCAUUUUGCCUUUUCUGGAUACCUAGGGAUACAAUUGCAACUUGUCAUUUAUUCUAUAUGCAUUUUUGAAAGAUAACAUUUUUUUGUAUUUUGGGGCUGUUGUAAAUAAAAUGCUGUAAUUACAUAGCUUAUAAACAACAAACAACUGUCACAUCCCAACCUAGAGGCUGAGAAGGCCAAGUAGAGCCAGCAGAGGUGGGUUCUAGUGUGAGCACACACUUCCUGCCUCACAGAUGAUGGUCUUGCUGUGCUUUCUCCUGUCAGAUGGGCAAAGGAUGUUCUUGGAGGCCUCUUUUAUGAGCACAAUAAGCCAAACCUGAGAGUCAGAGCCCUCAAUGUGAGCCCUUCACACAGGCUCCGCCACCACACACCCCCGUCUUGUGACUAAAUCUCAACAUAAUGGACUGGGAGAGUGGAUGGCACAAGGGUUCUGACUGUCACACCUGGGUGCGUGUCAUUCAAUAAGAGCAAUGAUGACUUGUUCCACCUAGAAAGUGCUCUGAAUAGAGAGGCAUCUCAAUGCAAUUUCUUCACCAUUACUCACUCAUCUUUUUGUGAUAUCACUUUCCUUUAUUAUCCAGAAACAUAAGUGGAGGAGGGAGAGCUACAGGGCAUGGAUCCACAGAAGAGGAAGUAGGAUAUCACUGUGAUAUAUUCUUUGUUUGUUUGUUUGUUUGUUUGUUUGUUUGUUUGAACUGAGUGUCAGAGAUCCUAGCAGGGUUCUACUCUAUGGACUGGAUGCCUCUUCUGUGAGGUCUUGAAUUCAUGGAAGUGAUUAAAAUCUGAUUUGGAUAGAUUAGCAUAUCUCAGAGAUUUCUAAUUAACUGAGAUUCUCUUCCCCUUGUCUUUUUUUCUCCCUCUUUCUUUUCAUUUUCAUUUUCAUUUUUUUUCUUGCCUUGAUUUUUGUUUUUAUUAAGUCAUUUUUUUUCUUUGUUAGGCAGAAUCUCACAUCAUAACCCCAAAUGACCUGUUACUCACCAUGUGGCCCAGCUGUCUUCAAACUCACCAGCCUCCUGCCUUAGCCUUCUAAAUGCUUGGAUUACAGGCAUGACCCACCAUAACUGGCUUUGUUUUAGUUUCAGAGAAGAUGAAACUGAUGUGCGUCAAAAAGUAAACUACCCACAUUUUAACUGGGCACAUUCCUGUCAAUCUGAUGAGAAUCUAUUUCAUACCCUGCUUUAGCUGGUAGUCUGUCAAGGAAAUGAGCUGAACAUGUCUGUGUACAGCUUUUGUGCCAUCCCUGGAUGAGCGAGCUGUCUGCCUCUAUGUUCUCCACAAAAUGGAAUAUAGCUGUACACCCAAGCCAAGUUAUGGAGGCUGGGAAGACCUAGAAUGUGGCAUCACUAUUUGCUGAAAUUUUUAAUAUAAUGCCUCUUAGCCUGGUUUGGAGAAAACGUCACAGAGAGGCACCAUUUGUUGUGGUUUUACAUGAAAAUUUUCUGACCCUGAACCUGGUUUGAUGGAAAUCAUUUGCUGAGGAAACCAUGCCGAUUACCGACCGAGCUCUCAAUGGAAAAAUGCAGUCGGCGUGAACCACGCACGAACACAGCAGAGAAAGAAGAAAACACACACCACGAGGAACCCUAAUAGGACAAUACAUUAUAAGUCACAGUGCUACGGAGAAACCCAGUAGCCACAUGGAAGCAGAGACCAUGCAUAUGCAUCUACUCCGCAGCUCUGUGAAUGUCAGCAGCUCCCACGGACUGGAGAUCCCGUGAGAUCCCGUGAGAUCUCACCCAUAGCCUCAUGGUACAUCCACUUGGUGUGCUGGGAGAGUCAGGAUGAGGACCUGAGAAGAACAGCAGCUUGAACCUGACUUCAUUUAACAGCCCACUGCCCUCUUGCCAAGAACCCAUCACAGACCUUCCCAGAAGAGAGGGAUGAGCCUCACCUAUGAAUAAGUCCUCAGAAACUCAAAUUUGAUUCUAAUGGAUUGUUUUCUCAGAAAGACUGAGCAUGUCCCCCCACAUCUCUGUCAUUUCCCACAGUAGUAACCUCUGCAGAUGCCACAUAGAAAACAAAACAAAACAAAAAAACAUGAGGUUGGUGGGCAGAUAGGCAGGGUAUAAACAAACAGCCUUGUAACCCAGAAGCUGUGUGAUAUACAGUAAACUUCACAACACUGAAAAGAUGUCCUAUCUGUUAAAAUGGGGUAAUAACAACUACCCGAAUGUUUAGGAAUAGAACUUCAAUAAAUGAUACAUUUUAUAGUACAGCAGACCAUCCUGUAAAGGUUUCAUCCUUCACUGUGGUGAUAAAUAUCCCAAACCACAUUGAAAAGCAUUGCAUCUACAUUUAUCUACACUGUAACUGUACUGUAAAUCAUGGGGGAGGGGAGAAUCAUAAAAACACCACCUGUCACCGUGUCAUUAAAGCAAGUUGGAAGUGAUACUUACAGAAACACAGCAAGAGCACCCCCAGUCACACAGUUCAAUCUCUUAGCAAGCGUUUUCUUUCUAGCCCAGUGGUUCUCAGUUUGGAAUUUUUGGCACUGCCUAGAGAUAGUUUUGUUGUUAAAACUGAGAAAAGAGCCGGGCGUGGUGGCACACGCCUUUAAUCCCAGCACUCAGGAGGCAGAGGCAGG